rnacentral:rRNA from 1 species
UAACGGCUGAACCAGCAACUUGGAGGAAUGUAUAGCGAAAGCUAAUUGUAUUAGCAGGCAAUGGUUAAUACAAUAUCGACUAUGUCGACUAAAGUUCUAGGUAGAGUAAUGAUAAUGACAUUUUUUACCUAUGUGUCUUGACCAAGUCACGUGCCAGCAGUCGCGGUAAUACGUGGAAGACGAGUGUUAUUCAUCUUUAAUAGGUUUAAAGGGUACCCAGACGGUAUAUUUAGCCCAAAAAAGGUACUAAAUAAACUAGAGUUUAAUGGGAGGGGAUUUCAGUUAGAACUAAUGGUGUAGAGAUGAAAUUCUAUCAUACCAAGAGGUAACUGGUAACGGCGAAAGCAACCCUUUAUGCAAAAACUGACGUUGAAGGACGAAGGCUAGUGUCACCAAAAGGAUUAGCUACCCCAGCAGUGCUAGCAGACAACGCUGAAUGCCAUAGAUUAGAUUAUAUUUCUUCUAUAAAUGAAAGUGUAAGCAUUCCACCUCAAGAGUAAUUUGGCAACAUUGGAAUUGAAAUCAUUAGACCGUUUCUGAAACCAGUAGUGAAGUAUGUUGUAUAAUUAGCCAGUCCGCUAAAAACCUUACCACAAUUUGAAUUUUUUUUAUAAUUAUACAAGCGUUGCACGGCUGUCUUCAGUUAAUGUCGUGAGAUUCUGGUUAGUUCCAUUAAAUUAACGUAAACCCUUACUUUAUUUUUAUAUAAAGUAGUUCACCGCUAUAUUGGAUAUGAUAGAAGGGACUAAGACAAGUCAUCAUGGCCUGAAUAUUGUGGGCUAUAGACGUGCCACAUAAGCCUAUACAAAGGGAUGCGAAAUUGCGAAAUUGA